CCUAGUAAGCGUGAGUCAUCAGCUCAUGUUGAUUACGUCCCUGCCCUUUGUACACACCGCCCGUCGCUACUACCGAUUGAAUGGCUUAGUGAGACUCUCGGAUCGGGUUUAAGGGACCGGCAACGGAUCCUUUCUUCUGAGAAGUUUGUCAAACUUGGUCAUUUAGAGGAAGUAAAAGUCGUAACAAGGUUUCCGUAGGUGAACCUGCGGAAGGAUCAUUAGAAUAUUCGGGAAUUUUUCCCUAAAUAUCUUAUUCAAAAAUUUCCAUUCUAAAAAUAAAAUUUUAAAUUUCAUUAAAGAAAUUAAGACAACUUUCAACAACGGAUCUCUUGGCUCUUGCAUCGAUGAAGAACGCAGUGAAAUGCGAUACGUAAUGUGAAUCGCAGAAUUCCGUGAAUCAUCAAAUCUUUGAACGCAAAUUGCACUCCUUGGUAUUCCGAGGAGUAUGCUUGCUUGAGGGUCGAAUCAUAUUAUCGUUUUUUAACGGAUCUGGGUUUUUCUAAGUUUUUUUUUAAACCUUGGUAACCUAAAAUUUAUCUUAAUAAUAUUUGUAAUAUUGAAAAUGUGUAUCUUACGUUCACGUGAGUUUAUUGACAAUCAUUAUGAAUUUAUUACGUCGUAUUAUUCACUCGAUUUUUUUAACGAUCGGGGCGAAAAUGAUACAAUUUUUUAAAAUUCGACCUCAAGUCAAGUAAGAAUACCCGCUGAACUUAAGCAUAUCAAUAAGCGGAGGAAAAGAAACUAACAAGGAUUCCCUUAGUAACGGCGAGUGAACUGGGAAGAGCUCAAAUUUAAAAUCAUCAGGGUUUCCUUGAUGAGUUGUAAUUUGAAGAAAGUGUUUUGAUGUUCGGGUUUUAUCUAAAUCCUUUGGGAUAAGGUAUCAUAGAGGGUGAGAAUCCCGUUCGUGAUUAAACCUCGGAUGUCACUUAAUUCAUUUUCUAAGAGUCGAGUUGUUUGGGAUUGCAGCUCAAAAUGGGUGGUAAAUUUCGCCUAAGGCUAAAUAUAUGCGAGAGACCGAUAGCGAACAAGUACCGUGAGGGAAAGAUGAAAAGAACUUUGAAAAGAGAGUUAAAUAGUACGUGAAAUUGUUGAAAGGGAAACGACUGAAGUCAGUCAUGCUAGUGAGGAAUCAACUCGGUGGUUUUCUUCCGGGUGUACUUUCUCGCCUGGCAGGUUAGCAUCAAUUUCGUUCAUCAUUAAAUGAUCGGGGUAAUGUGGCUUCUCUUCGGAGUAGUGUUUAUAGACCUUGGUAGAUGUGAUGAUCGGGAUUGAGGAUUGCAGCGAAUGCUAUUUGGCUAGUCCCCUGAUUUCUGAUGGUCACCUCGCCUUCGACAGCUUGCUGACGUGGGUGGGUUCUGAUUGUCUAGAUGUUAGAGUGAUCAUAUAUUCGCUAAGGAUGCUGACGUAAUGGCUUUAAACGACCCGUCUUGAAACACGGACCAAGGAG
rnacentral:sRNA from 1 species